rnacentral:lncRNA from 1 species
GCCAUCAUUUUAAAGACACUUUCAUCCAAGAGAUACACUUGAUCGUGAGUGGAUGGUGCCAAAGAAAACCGUGCUCUGCGAACCAUCAGGACACCUCAUUUCCAGCUCAACAGGCCUGGUCUGAUAUCAGCAGGUAAACGUGGAACCCAGCUCUCCUCAAGCUUGUUGUGGGGUCAUGUUGCGCCCUCUGGUGGUCCAUCUUUUCAAUGGUUUUUCAAUGGCUUUGCCCGCCCAGAUGAGCAAACUUGAAGGAACUACCUCCUGAUGCUUCAAAAACAGUCAGAAGUUUUAGGUCAUUCUUUGGCCAAAGUCUGGCUCGGGUCAUAUACUCUGUCUGCGCCUGAGGCUGAGACGGUGUAGAGGAACAAAUGACAUUAGACAUCUGUACUACCUACCGUUGCCAGAUUCAGCAAAGAGGAUUUGAAUCUCAGGGAUCGCCUUCAAAUAAACGACUUGCACCUGACUCCGUAUCUCGGCACCCGAUUCCAGAGGGACCUGAACAAAGACGCAGCUGUAACACACAAACUCAGCAUCUCGGCGGUGGACUCGGUGACGUUCUGAUGUGCCCUCCUAUCGUGGUGGGGACUCCGUCAGAUCCUUCAGGGACAAAGGCUCUUUUCCACACGCGGAUCUCCAUCUUGCAUGCGAGUUUCUCUGCACGCAUUCAGCUCCAGAUGGAGAGGCGGCGCCUGGAAUGCUGGGAGAAGGAUUUUCAGUGACGACACCUAGAAGCCCAGCUCCCAUUGGCAGGACUCAGUCACGUGGCCCCUGCUCCCCGCGGGGGGAGCUGGGAAAAGCACCGCAGCGCCGCGCCAUUACACAGGAAGCAUCUUUCUCGGCGGCUUAAGAUUCAGCAAAGCACGUUCCAGGCUAAAGAAACCAUGUCUGGGGAUCCCUGGGUGGCGCAGCGGUUUAGCGCCUGCCUUUGGCCCAGGGCGCGAUCCUGGAGACCCGGGAUCGAAUCCCAUAUCGGGCUCCUGGUGCGUGGAGUCUGCCUCUCUCUCUCUCUCUCUCUCUCUCUCUCUCUCUGUGACUAUCAUAAAUAAAAUAAAAUAAAAUAAAAAAGAAAGAAACCGUGUCUGGGGGCCACAGUCGGUUUGCUGCUCACCAGUUUGGAAGUUCUCACCCGCACAUGAGUCCCAAAAAUUGAAAAAAAAAGUUGCUAAGAAGUCAGCCACCCAGCAAGUUCUUCACUUCUGCAGAUGCAAGAGUCCUACCUUCUACCGCGUUGGGUGAUAAAAUGAAUGUAUGGGAAUCAAAUCGGUUCUUCACUGACUGAUUUUACAAUUUCAGGGAGAAAAUAAUUGCAUCUCUGAUAGCCCUUGUGUGAGCAGAGGCUCCCAACGUGAUAGCUUCCCUUCCUUCCUGCCUUCCCUGCCAAGCGUUUGUCUCUCUCUAAGGAAAUGGUCAGUUAUUUAUUUAUUUAUUUAUUUAAUCUUUUUUUUUUAUUGGAGUUCAAUUUGCCAACAUAUAGCAUAACACCCAGUGCUCAUCCCAUCAAGUGCCCCCCUCAGUGCCCGUCACCCAGUCACCCCCCCGCCCCGCCCUCCUCCCCUUCUACCACCCCUUGUCCGUUUCCCAUAGUUAGGAGACUCUCAUGUUCUGUCUCCCUUUCUGAUAUUUCCCACCCAUUUUUUCUCCUUUCCCCUUUAUUCCCUUUCACUAUUUUUUAUAUUCCCCAAAUGAAUGAGACCAUAUAAUGUUUGUCCUUCCCUGACUGACUUAGGAAAUGGUCAUUCAAAUGCAGUCUUCGUCUCCUGUCGUCUUUGACCCCUCCCCACCGGCUCGGACACUGGUCAUCCUGCUUAUUUCUCAGACUUGCCAAAGGAGGGGCGCCUCAGUGGCCCAGCGUCUGCCUUCAGCUCAGGUCAUUAUGAUGGGCUCCUGGGAUCGAGUCCCCAUCUGCGGGGAGCCUGCUGCUCCCUCUGCCUAUGUCUCUGCCUCUCUCUCUCUCUCUCUCUCUCUGUCUCUUGUGAAUAAAUAAAAUCUUUUUUUAAAUAAUUUUUAAAAAUGUGCCAAAGGAGGGUGCCUUAGUGCAGUCCGGGUGGGCAUCUGACUCUUGGCGUCUGCCCGGGCUGUGAUCUCAGGGUCUUGGGAUCGAGCCCUGGGGCAGAUCCUUGCUCAACUCUUGGGGGAGUCUGCUUGGGAUUCCCUCUCCCCCUCCCUCUGCCCCUCCCGCUCACGCUCACUCUCUUCUUCUCUAAAAUAAAUAAAUAAAUCUUAAAAACAACAACGAAAGCUUGCCAGACGUUCCCCCACCUCCCAGGCUCUGCAGACCCUGCCCCCGGUUCCAGGGCUGUGCGCCCUCUCAUGCUGCCCCGUUUCCCCGGGCUUUACCUAGCUGGCCCCCGUGUAUCAAACGGGUCUCACCAUAAAUGUCCUUUCCUGGGAGGGGCUUUCCCUGACUGCCCCAAAUCAAGCCCCUGUCUUCUCCCCGCUGCUACGCUCGCUCAUUCCGGGUACAACCGUGGGGAACCGUAUCUGUUUAUCUCAUAGGGGUUUCCUCCAGAGCCUGCCGCUUCCCCGCCGGACACCUAGCAGGAGCGUAGUGUCUGGCGUGGUGCUCAAAAUAGGUUCACACAAAUAAGUGAAUACCAAGAAAAAGUCCACCGCUUUGAACAAUUUUGUGAGGAUACCUUUUAUAAUUAAAACAGCAUACCCCAAUCUGUUUUGAAAGUUUAGUUAAGCUUUACUGGGAUUUGAGAAAGAGGAGUAUUUGUACAACGAAUGCUACCUGAAGCAACAGAAGAAAAUAAAAAUUCUUUCUUUAUCCCAGAAAUCCAUGAACUUACUCUUUUCUAAAACUGGCCUUGAUAAACUCCCUGCGAUCACUUAUGUCAACAGGAGGGUAGAGUGGAAAGGUCUUUGAAAAAGCGAAGAGGCCUAGAGGCGCUUUACAAUGUAGAGGGUUAGUUCCCAAAAGCAUAAUUGACCUAAACGAUCUGCCAGGUUUCCCUGCAGGGUGGGGGUGGAAGGGCAUUAACCUCUCUUUUUCCCUUUUCUUUACCCUGUGCGUUCCAGUCCAUCCAUCAUUUUCAACUAUCCUCCUAAACGUAGCCCCUUCUCCCCCCAGAGGUAGUGGCCCUGAAUGAAAAUAAAAUAAAGGACAUUACAUUAAGAGACUGUAGAGGUUUUUUUCUAAGAACAUUUUCUUCUUUAGGUCUGUGCUACAUUUUGUCUUCGAUUGUUCUCAAGUGGCCCUGGGGGCAUUUCACAGAAAUUAGAAGUCAGCUGGUCAGACCAUUUGGUUCCAGAUCCAGCACCUGCCCAUCGUGACACUGAGCAAGUCCCGUAGUCCGGUCUCAGCCCCCAUCCCUCCUGUGCAAAAGAGGAAUACUGGCGCCUCUCUCAUAAGCUGACAUGGCCAUGCAUGAGUAUUACAACAUGUGAACACUUUA